GCGCCCGUAGCUCAGCUGGAUAGAGUAUCUGACUACGAAUCAGGGGGUCGGGGGUUCGAAUCUCUCCGGGCGCGCCA
rnacentral:tRNA from 5 species